rnacentral:rRNA from 1 species
GGAAUUUUCGGCAAUGGGGGGAACCCUGACCGAGCAACGCCGCGUGAACGAAGAAGUUAUUCGUAAUGUAAAGUUCUUUUAUUUGCGAAGAAGAAAGUGACGGUAGCAAAUGAAUAAGCUCCGGCUAACUACGUUCCAGCAGCCGCGGUAAUACGUAGGGAGCGAGCGUUAUCCGGAAUUAUUGGGCGUAAAGGGUGCGUAGAUGGCACAAAAAGUCUUGUGUAAAAAUGCUAGGCUCAACCUAGUAGAGCAAAAGAUACUUUUGAGCUAGAGUAUGGCAGAGGCAAGUGGAACUACAUGUGUAGCGGUAAAAUGCGUAAAUAUAUGUAAGAACACCAGUGGCGAAAGCGGCUCUCUGGUCUGUAACUGACGCUGAGGUUCGAAAGCGUGGGUAGCAAACAG